rnacentral:rRNA from 1 species
UACGUAGGGUGCAAGCGUUAUCCGGAAUUACUGGGCGUAAAGAGUUCGUAGGCGGAUUUUUAAGUCGGAUGUUAAAUCAACAGGCUCAACUUGUUGGCUGCAUCCGAUACUGGGAGUCUUGAGAGUGGAAGAGGUAAGCGGAAUUUCCGGUGGAGCGGUAAAAUGCGUAGAUAUCGGAAAGAACACCAAUGGCGAAGGCAGCUUACUGGGCCAUUUCUGACGCUGAGGAACGAAAGCGUGGGGAG